CUAAAAUGUCCCCAGUUAUCUUUUUGAUUUCCUUGAAAGCGUCCCGGGGUUGAGCCAAUAAGGUAAACACUAAAAAGAUAUAAAGCACAAGUUACAGAACAUAGUGAUUUGUGGACUCCCCAAAUCACAAAAUAUGCAUGAAAACUAACAUUAAGCAAGAAAUAUUCUAAGAGCCAACCCACUUUCUUGAGAUGCCUCUUCAGAGGAGUAACUGACACUUAAAAUCAUUUUUGAGCACAUCGAGUAAUGGUGGGACACCCACGGGGUAUAAGGUACCAGGCAAAGAGCUCAGCAAUUUUAAGAGAAAGCUCUCCGGCUGGGAUGGGAGGGGUGGGGUGGUGGCACUCAGGUGAGGGGCAAGAUCUCCCGGCCUCCACUUCAGUGCCUGAGGACCAGGAGGUGCAGACAGUGACAGGCCCUGCUCUCAUCACGUCCCGAAGGACAGCCAUCUCCUGCCGGGCCCCUGUGUUCCAGACCUCACAUGGCGUUCAAGCGCACACAGUGACUACCAAGAAAUGGCCGGAACCCUACAAACCCUUGUGUCUUCUGGUGCCAGUCAGCGUGAAUGAGGUUGGAGCACUUAUCAGUACAGACACGUGCAGCAGACUGAAAUGACAAACGCAUUUCCUACUGUGGGUUGCAGUUUAAGUUUGAAAGAUGCUUCAUUUUCAAGAGACUGAUCCUUCUUCAUACUCUACAGAUGCCAGACUUGUCACCUGCGUGUAUCUGGGCUUGAGGUAAGUCUUCCCUUUUCUUCUCCCUUUACUCAAAUCAGCCCUAGAGAUUCCCUUCUUUCCCAUGGGGCCUCCCCAGUCAUCAGAUUAUUUCUCUUAGUUUAAUUCCAGUGAGAGGGAGGGAACAGGACAGAUAAGAGCUUUUCAUCUGAAGCUGGAAGACCUAAGUACCAGUGUUCAUCAGUUAGAAGUCAUAGGACCCUAUGUAAGUCAUUUAAUAUCUCUGAGUCGUUCCAUGUCCCCUGAGCCUCGGCUUCUCACUUGUAGCAUGAAGGAUCAACUCCGUGUUCACUUCAUAGGGCUGAUGUGAGAAUGAAAUGCAGUACGUGUUUUGUUAAAUGUAAAACACUCCAGGUGUACAUUCCCUCUACUGCUUCCAUGCCCUGCUUUACUUUGCCAUCUACUUUCGGAUGAUUCUUGGCCUCCCGAUGGUUUUCUAAUUAUUUCAGGAACCUAAAUUCUCUCUCCCCCAACUAGAGAUUCAUUCAAGGCAGUAACUCUGCCUUAUUUCUAUGGAGGCCAAAAUGCUACUUAACAUUUACUGAUGGAAGUCAGUUUACACGUGGGAAAAAAAUGAACCACUGGUUCUCUCAAAUAAACAACAUCCCAAAUACUAUCUCGAUAGAAUGGGGUUAUUAGCAUUAAAAAAUACAGAAAAGACUAUACAAACACAGAAUGAGAUUUAGCUCUUGCCAGAAUGAGAAUUUAACCCAAGCCGGCAAAUGGUAAAUUAAUGCAAAGCUGGAGAAAUGACAGGUGUUGAAUCAAUCUUCUUUCCAUGUAUGAGAUGUGCUCCCUGAAAUCUGCGCAAAUUUACAUACACAGUUGCCAAAUUAGUAGUUGACUGUAAUUAAGAAUAAGCCAGUUAUGAAUUCAUGAUUUAACUUUUACAAAUAUUUCCAUUAGUUAAGGCAUCAAUUAACAGGAAAAUCAUGCACUAAUGUCAGUGAAUCCUAUCAAAUAGCAUUGAGAAGUAAUCUAAGGGGAGUCAUAUUAAUCUUUUCAUAGCCAAAAUGGCAUGUCCCCAUAAGGUCAGAGCUAAAAAUGGAUAAAACAUAUAAAGAAAUGAGGUCUUCCCUGAAGAAUACUGACCUGCAUAUUAUCUAUUAAGCUAUGGGGGUGGCAGAAGGGACAUUUCCCCUAUUUGAAGCUGUUCCUGCACAGGCGGAAGGCAAGCUAAUGUCUGUGGAGCAUUUAUGUACCAGGCAUUGCUUUAGAAGCCGCACAGAAUGCUAGCACACUGAAUCCCACCCAAUCCAGAGAAGGCGCUACCGUUCCCAUUUUACAACUGCAGAAUCCGUGGCUAGGACAGGUCAUGGGGACUAUCCAGCUCCCCACGUGAACCAGAAGCAGCGCUUAUUUGGGUCACACAUGUUGGAUCCUCCUCUCACUGUGCACGGCUUCCCUUGGGCUGGACAGGGCCGCAGCUACUUCAUGCUACUGGGGCAGGAGUGGGUCACACGGAGGGGAGGCCCUGCUACAGCCCGAAGAGGAGAGGGGCCCAUCCUGCAGUCUGCUCCUGGCUGCACGGCCACAUCUGACGCUUCCCUCCCGCUGUGGAUUCUCAGGGCCGUGGGAGGUGCCUUUGCUUCCCGCUCUGGGGGCCACCAAAGAGCUUCAGCAUGCUAAAGCACUAUGAGAUAAGCCCCGGGACUCACAGCAUCCUGGAAGCAGGGAUGCAGCUCGUUCACCGUCUCUAAGAGGACCACGAGCUCCUGGAGGAUGGAGCUGCAUCUGGUCACUUCCAGAUGCUCCACAAGUAGUCACCACCAGCUGACGCAAGUGUGACCCCGGAGACUCCUUCAGAGUUACUGUGGCAGCUCCACUCUGUCGGGGGAGGGCGGGGGACGCGUUCACACCUGUCACCAGGAGCUGGAAGGCUUUCCUUCUUUCCUAGCUUAUGUGUUUGUCUUGCCUCUCUCACCCGAAGACUAAAAGCUGGAAGGACAAAAACCACUAUGUCUCCAAACACUUUACAUCCCCCCGAGCUGUGCUUCAAGAAUGUAAUAGAUAUUUAAUGAAUAACUCUUAGAACAUUUUAAAAUGAACAACGGAAAGUAAUUUCAAGGCAUGAGUUCAAUCUCCUACAAAAUACUGGCAUUUUAACAAAAAGUAAACCACACACACACUACAGAGUGGGGAAAGGGUCUAUCAUUACUUCCCUAGGCACUUUCAACUCUGAAUGAGGAACUCUGCUGGGUUUAACCUGCAAAAUGCGUGUGUUGGAGGCGAAGGAAGAAUGGACUUGCAAAGCGUGUGUGUGUGUGUGUGUGUGUGUGUGUGUGUGUGUGUGUAUGUGUGUGUGUGCCAAAGGAAACAGACUUAAUUUUAGCAGUGAGGAAACAACAAAAGUAAAUUAAGAACUUAAGCAAAAAUAAACAGUCCUAGUCCUGUCUCCAACACUGGCUGGAGGAAAACUGCCUACCUACUUGGGGGCUCUAGUCUAUAAAUGAAGACAAAGGACCAAGUAAUUUUUUGAAUAGCAUUAAAAAAAAAAAAAAAAGGAUAGCCCCGCCCCCCUCAAAUGCUACUGUGUCAGAUCUGGGCCAGCCCAGCACUCAGUCCCUCCCCGGACCCAGGCUCUCCUAUGACUCGCUAGCAUAUUAAGUGCAGUGUGAAUACGCCCAAGAAACGCUGGCUACGGGCACAGAACGUGUGCCCUGCACAGGAAUCCCGCACUGCAGGUCUAGCAAAUCAUGCCCAGGAUCCAAAACAGGGCUUGCGGAAUGUAUUCUGGAAUCAGUAAGGUAUUUAGGCUAGGGUUCCAGCUAAGGGUGGGGGACAAGGACCCAUCUGGUGCGACACUUUACUGGCAGAAUCUCUACCCAGGACGGCUGACUACUGCCGCCCAUCAGCGUCUCCCACGGUGGUGCAGCUACAGGAGCCUAAGAUGCUGACUCAGCCUAUUCAGUGCUAUUUUGUAUCCUUUGCUGAAAUUAGCAUUCUGUGAGCUCUGUGCCUGAUACUCCAGCUCGGUAGGUGCUUGAGGUCACUCUCAACAACCCUCCAUUACACUAAAGUUACCAAUUAGGGGUGGUUGGUAAAUGCAGCAACAUUUACACAAGAGCAUCUAAAACCAGAUAAUGUAUGCUUGAUAGGUAUCCUUUCACAAAGUGGCUCAGUGCUUUCUGCUCUGGUUCCUUUCUGGAGACAGACUGGCAAAAUAUAGCUUUAAGCUUACAAAGAGAAUGAUGAACAUAUGCCCUCGUUUUUGGCGUAAUAUCAGGAAAACAGUGGUCACUGCAAGACUCGGGGGAAACACUUCCUCCCAUGAGAUUCCUUGUUGCCUUAGGGACAGAUACCCAAAGGGACAUGCCUGAAGCAGCAGGCUACCUGUUUCCACUGCUGGUCU